UUGGCCGGGCGACGGUUGUCCCGGUUUAAGCGUGUAGGUGUGUGUUCCAGGUAAAUCCGGUUCACUUUAACACUGAGGCGUGACGACGAGGCACUACGGUGCUGAAGCAACAAAUGCCCUGCUUCCAGGAAAAGCCUCUAAGCAUCAGGUAACAUCAAAUCGUACCCCAAACCGACACAGGUGGUCAGGUAGAGAAUACCAAGGCGCUUGAGAGAACUCGGGUGAAGGAACUAGGCAAAAUGGUGCCGUAACUUCGGGAGAAGGCACGCUGACACGUAGGUGAAGUGAUUUACUCAUGGAGCUGAAGUCAGUCGAAGAUACCAGCUGGCUGCAACUGUUUAUUAAAAACACAGCACUGUGCAAACACGAAAGUGGACGUAUACGGUGUGACGCCUGCCCGGUGCCGGAAGGUUAAUUGAUGGGGUCAGCGCAAGCGAAGCUCCUGAUCGAAGCCCCGGUAAACGGCGGCCGUAACUAUAACGGUCCUAAGGUAGCGAAAUUCCUUGUCGGGUAAGUUCCGACCUGCACGAAUGGCGUAAUGAUGGCCAGGCUGUCUCCACCCGAGACUCAGUGAAAUUGAACUCGCUGUGAAGAUGCAGUGUACCCGCGGCAAGACGGAAAGACCCCGUGAACCUUUACUAUAGCUUGACACUGAACAUUGAGCCUUGAUGUGUAGGAUAGGUGGGAGGCUUUGAAGUGUGGACGCCAGUCUGCAUGGAGCCGACCUUGAAAUACCACCCUUUAAUGUUUGAUGUUCUAACGUGGACCCGUUACCCGGGUUGCGGACAGUGUCUGGUGGGUAGUUUGACUGGGGCGGUCUCCUCCUAAAGAGUAACGGAGGAGCACGAAGGUUGGCUAAUCCUGGUCGGACAUCAGGAGGUUAGUGCAAUGGCAUAAGCCAGCUUGACUGCGAGCGUGACGGCGCGAGCAGGUGCGAAAGCAGGUCAUAGUGAUCCGGUGGUUCUGAAUGGAAGGGCCAUCGCUCAACGGAUAAAAGGUACUCCGGGGAUAACAGGCUGAUACCGCCCAAGAGUUCAUAUCGACGGCGGUGUUUGGCACCUCGAUGUCGGCUCAUCACAUCCUGGGGCUGAAGUAGGUCCCAAGGGUAUGGCUGUUCGCCAUUUAAAGUGGUACGCGAGCUGGGUUUAGAACGUCGUGAGACAGUUCGGUCCCUAUCUGCCGUGGGCGCUGGAGAACUGAGGGGGGCUGCUCCUAGUACGAGAGGACCGGAGUGGACGCAUCACUGGUGUUCGGGUUGUCAUGCCAAUGGCACUGCCCGGUAGCUAAAUGCGGAAGAGAUAAGCGCUGAAAGCAUCUAAGCACGAAACUUGCCCCGAGAUGAGUUCUCCCUGAGACUUUAGGUCUCCUGAAGGAACGUUGAAGACGACGACGUUGAUAGGCCGGGUGUGUAAGCGCAGCGAUGCGUUGAGCUAACCGGU
rnacentral:rRNA from 1 species